rnacentral:rRNA from 1 species
UACAGAGGUGGCAAGCGUUGUUCGGAAUUACUGGGCGUAAAGGGCGCGUAGGCGGUCUAGCAAGUCCCGUGUGAAAUCCCCAGGCUCAACCUGGGAACUGCGUCCGAUACUGGAUGGCUUGAAUCCGGGAGAGGGAUGCAGAAUUCCAGGUGUAGCGGUGAAAUGCGUAGAUAUCUGGAGGAACACCGGUGGCGAAGGCGGCAUCCUGGACCGGCAUUGACGCUGAGGCGCGAAAGCUAGGGGAGCAAACGGG